UAGAGUUUGAUCCUGGCUCAGGAUGAACGCUGGCGGCGUGCUUAACACAUGCAAGUCGAACGAGAUCCUUCGGGAUUUAGUGGCGGACGGGUGAGUAACGCGUGAGGAUCUGCCUAAAGGACCGGGACAACAGAGGGAAACUUCUGCUAAAACCGGAUGUGCCGAGAGGUGAAAUAUUUAUAGCCUUUAGAUGAGCUCGCGUCUGAUUAGCUAGUUGGUGUGGUAAAGGCAUACCAAGGCGACGAUCAGUAGCUGGUCUGAGAGGACGAUCAGCCACACUGGGACUGAGACACGGCCCAGACUCCUACGGGAGGCAGCAGUGGGGAAUUUUCCGCAAUGGGCGAGAGCCUGACGGAGCAACGCCGCGUGAGGGAGGAAGGCCUGUGGGUUGUAAACCUCUUUUCUCAGGGAAGAAGUUCUGACGGUACCUGAGGAAUCAGCAUCGGCUAACUCCGUGCCAGCAGCCGCGGUAAGACGGAGGAUGCAAGCGUUAUCCGGAAUUAUUGGGCGUAAAGCGUCCGUAGGCGGUUACAAAAGUCUGUUGUUAAAGCCCACAGCUCAACUGUGGAUCGGCAAUGGAAACUGUGUGACUAGAGAGUGGUAGGGGUAGAGGGAAUUCCUAGUGUAGCGGUGAAAUGCGUAGAUAUUAGGAAGAACACCAGUGGCGAAGGCGCUCUACUGGGCCAUUACUGACGCUGAUGGACGAAAGCUAGGGGAGCGAAAGGGAUUAGAUACCCCUGUAGUCCUAGCUGUAAACGAUGGAUACUAGGUGUUGGCCGUAUCGACCCGGUCAGUAUCGAAGCAAACGCGUUAAGUAUCCCGCCUGGGGAGUACGCACGCAAGUGUGAAACUCAAAGGAAUUGACGGGGGCCCGCACAAGCGGUGGAGUAUGUGGUUUAAUUCGAUGCAACGCGAAGAACCUUACCAGGGAUUGACAUCCUACGAAUCUUCUUGAAAGGGAAGAGUGCCUUCGGGAGCGUAGAGACAGGUGGUGCAUGGCUGUCGUCAGCUCGUGUCGUGAGAUGUUGGGUUAAGUCCCGCAACGAGCGCAACCCUCGUCCUUAGUUGCCAUCAUUAAGUUGGGCACUUUGAGGAGACUGCCGGUGACAAACCGGAGGAAGGUGGGGAUGACGUCAAGUCAUCAUGCCCCUUACAUCCUGGGCUACACACGUACUACAAUGCAACGGACAAAGGGCAGCCAACUAGCGAUAGUGAGCUAAUCCCAUAAACCGUUGCUCAGUUCAGAUUGCAGGCUGCAACUCGCCUGCAUGAAGGCGGAAUCGCUAGUAAUCGCAGGUCAGCAUACUGCGGUGAAUACGUUCCCGGGCCUUGUACACACCGCCCGUCACACCAUGGAAGUUGGCCACGCCCGAAGUCGUUACCCCAACCUUAGGGAGGGGGACGCCGAAGGCAGGGCUGAUGACUGGGGUGAAGUCGUAACAAGGUAGCCGUACCGGAAGGUGUGGCUGGAUCACCUCCUUAGAGGGAGACCUACUAAGUUAUAGAAUGAAAGCAAAAAGCGAAUAGUUCAUAGCUGUAGUCACCUAAGGUCGAUGAGGGUUUCUUAAAUCAGCGUCUAGUGAGUGAGCUCAAUGAGUUGAGAGACUAAUUGAGUGAGCGAAACUAGACCAUCUUCAAAUUAUUCAGGUGUUAUCCCUACAAGUGCUGCCAACUAGAGCUAAUGAGUAGGCAAAGAAAAGAAGACUACGGGCUAUUAGCUCAGGUGGUUAGAGCGCACCCCUGAUAAGGGUGAGGUCCCUGGUUCGAGUCCAGGAUGGCCCACUUCUGCGAAAGUAUGAAGAGAGGGAAAUGAGAAGUGAGUGAAGCAAGCUUUGUUCAAGACUCAUUAACUGACUUUAUUCUGAAGGAUUAGGGGGGUAUAGCUCAGCUGGUAGAGCGCCUGCUUUGCAAGCAGGAUGUCAGCGGUUCGAGUCCGCUUACCUCCACCACAAUUUUCGAAUUAUAUAUUCAUUGAUAGAUAUUCGGCAGACAUCGAUUAACGAUGUAAAGCAAUCAGCAUCUAUACCUGUGAGAAGUCUCGCUAGAUGAAGCGAAUUUCAACCAAGAUAGUGUGCUGGUCUCUUGAGACCGGUAAGAACCUUGACAACUGCAUAGAAAAAAUAGAAAGCAAAGGUAGUUCGAAUGUCUGAGAAGGCGUUUGAAGAAAAGAAAGCCCAAUGAGCUGAGAAUAAGAAGAAGAGAUAGAGCGAGAGCGAAAUUUCCGAAUCAAGUUUUCGGUUGCAUGAGCAAUCGACCUUCAAAUAUCCAAUGAAGGUCAAGCUACAAAGGGCUCACGGUGGAUACCUAGGCACACAGAGGCGAAGA
rnacentral:rRNA from 1 species